AUUGAACGCUGGCGGCAGGCCUAACACAUGCAAGUCGAGCGGAGCGGCGGACGGGGGAGUAAUGCCUAGGAAUCUGCCUGGUAGUGGGGGAUAACGUCCGGAAACGGGAGCUAAUACCGCAUACUAUCAGAAGAGGCUAGGUCGGAUUAGCAAGUUGGAGGGGUAAAGGCCUACCAAGGCAACGAUCCGUAACUGGUCUGAGAGGAUGAUCAGUCACACUGGAACUGAGACACGGUCCAGACUCCUACGGGAGGCAGCAGUGGGGAAUAUUGGACAAUGGGCGAAAGCCUGAUCCAGCCAUGCCGCGUGUGUGAAGAAGGUCUUCGGAUUGUAAAGCACUUUAAGUUGGGAGGCGUUACCAACAGAAUAAGCACCGGCUAACUACGUGCCAGCAGCCGCGGUAAUUC
rnacentral:rRNA from 1 species